GACGAACGCUGGCGGCGUGCCUAAUACAUGCAAGUCGAACGAAGCUGUUUUAACUGGUGCUUGCACCGACUUAAACAACUGAGUGGCGAACGGGUGAGUAACACGUGGGUAACCUGCCCCAAAGCGGGGGAUAACAUUUGGAAAAAGAUGCUAAUACCGCAUAAACACAGAAACCACAUGGUUUCUGUGUCAAAGAUGGUUUCGGCUAUCACUUUGGGAUGGACCCGCGGCGUAUUAGCUAGUUGGUAAGGUAAUGGCUUACCAAGGCAAUGAUACGUAGCCGAACUGAGAGGUUGAUCGGCCACAUUGGGACUGAGACACGGCCCAAACUCCUACGGGAGGCAGCAGUAGGGAAUCUUCCACAAUGGACGAAAGUCUGAUGGAGCAACGCCGCGUGAGUGAAGAAGGUUUUCGGAUCGUAAAACUCUGUUGUCAGAGAAGAACGUGUGCGAGAGUAACUGUUCGUGCAGUGACGGUAUCUGGCCAGAAAGCCACGGCUAACUACGUGCCAGCCGCCGCAGUAA
rnacentral:rRNA from 1 species